UUGCUCAGAGCUUCAACAUUCAAUUUCGAGCCUUCGAAUAUAUUACGGGACUCAAUAAGACAUCCGAGUAAAAAGUUUUUGUCGUUUGAAUUUGCUCAGAGCUUCGGUAUUCCAUUUCGAGCGUCUCGAUAUAUUACGGGACUCAAUCAGACAUCCGAGUAAAAAGUUAUUGUCGUUUGAAUUUGCUCAGAGCUUCUACAUUCAAUUUCGAGCUUUUCGAUAUAUUACGGGACUCAAUCAGAUAUCCGAGUAAAAAGUUAUAGUCGUUUGAAUUUUC
rnacentral:lncRNA from 1 species